rnacentral:rRNA from 1 species
AUACGGAGGGGGCUAGCGUUGUUCGGAAUUACUGGGCGUAAAGCGUACGUAGGCGGACUGAUCAGUUGGGGGUGAAAUCCCAGGGCUUAACCCUGGAACUGCCUUCAAUACUGUCAGUCUUGAGUUUGAGAGAGGUGAGUGGAAUUCCUAGUGUAGAGGUGAAAUUCAUAGAUAUUAGGAGGAACACCAGUGGCGAAGGCGGCUCACUGGCCCAUUACUGACGCUGAGGUACGAAAGCGUGGGGAGCAAACAGAAUUAGAAACCCUAGUAGUCC